UACGAAGGGGGCUAGCGUUGUUCGGAAUUACUGGGCGUAAAGCGCGCGCAGGCGGUCUUCCAAGUCAGUGGUGAAAGCCCGGAGCUCAACCCCGGAACUGCCAUUGAAACUGUUGGACUUGAGUACGAGAGAGGUGAGUGGAAUUCCCAGUGUAGAGGUGAAAUUCGUAGAUAUUGGGAAGAACACCGGUGGCGAAGGCGGCGCUCUGGACCGAGACUGACGCUGAGGCGCGAAAGCGUGGGGAGCAAACAGG
rnacentral:rRNA from 1 species